rnacentral:tRNA from 1 species
CAAAGUGUAGCUUAAAACAAAGCAUCUGGCCUA